rnacentral:rRNA from 1 species
ACUCCUACGGGAGGCAGCAGUGGGAAUAUUGGACAAUGGGGGCACCCUGAUCCAGCGAUGCCGCGUGUGUGAAGAAGGCCUGAGGGUUGUAAAGCACUUUAGUGGGGAGGAAAGUUAACAGGUUAAGAGCUAGUUAAGUUGACGUUACCCACCAUCAAACAAGCACCGCUAACUCCGUGCCAGCAGCCGCGGUAAUACGGGG